rnacentral:rRNA from 1 species
AAUCAACGCUGGCGGCGUGCCUCAGACAUGCAAGUCGAACGCGAAAUUUCCCCGCAAGGGGAGAAAGUAGAGUGGCGCACGGGUGAGUAACACGUAGGUAAUCUACCUUCGGAUGGGGGAAUAACAAUCGGAAACGAUUGCUAAUACCGCAUAAUGCAGCGGCACCUAAUGGUGACAGUUGUUAAAGCGGGGGAUCGAAAGACCUCGCGUUUGAAGAGGAGCCUGCGGCGGAUUAGCUAGUUGGUAAGGUAAUGGCUUACCAAGGCAACGAUCCGUAACCGGCCUGAGAGGGCGGUCGGUCACACUGACACUGGACAUACGGGUCAGACUCCUACGGGAGGCAGCAGUCGGGAAUUUUGGGCAAUGGGCGAAAGCCUGACCCAGCAACGCCGCGUGAAGGAUG